UUGGGGAGGAAUCCUCGGUGCCGCAGUUAACACAAUAAGCACUCCACCUGGGGAGUACGACCGCAAGGUUGAAACUCAAAGGAAUUGACGGGGGCCCGCACAAGCGGUGUAGCAUGUGGUUUAAUUCGAAGCAACGCGAAGAACCUUACCAAGGCUUGACAUCCCGAUGACCGCUCUAGAGAUAGCGCUUCUCUUCGGAACAUCGGUGACAGGUGGUGCAUGGUUGUCGUCAGCUCGUGUCGUGCGAUGUUGGGUUAAGUCCCGCAACGAGCGCAACCCUUAUCUUCAGUAGCCAUCAUUGAGUUGGGCACUCUGGAGCGACUGCCGUGGAUAACACGGAGGAAGGUGGGGAUGACGUCAAAUCAUCAUGCCCCUUAUGUCUUGGGCUACACACGUGCUACAAUGGCUGGUAACAAAGUGAAGCGAGA
rnacentral:rRNA from 1 species